rnacentral:rRNA from 1 species
UGGACCACGGGUCCAGGGGGACCAGCCCAUCGGGCUGUAAGCACGUAAUGCCGGAACCGUGGGUCUGUCCGGUGCGUUUGGUAAGUGGAUGCGGCAUUGGAGCUUGAAACUCACUGUCCGGCGGCGUUUGGUAAGUCGACGCGGCCUCUUUAUUCUUCUGAAAUUAUGGAGAUUAAAUCCCGCGUGCGUACCCAGAGCACCCUCAAGAUGAUCGCCCUCGCAUUCCACCCCAGAGCACCCUCAGAUUAUCGUUCCGGUACUCGUUACUUCAAACCAGUGUGAACCUCCCCGUCGCUUCGGCGACAACCCAAACCACAAGUAAACUUCUGUCAGUAUACGAAAAAGUAAAUCGUUAAAACUUUCAACAACGGAUCUCUUGGUUCUCGCAUCGAUGAAGAACGCAGCGAAACGCGAUAGGUAAUGUGAAUUGCAGAAUUCAGUGAAUCAUCGAAUCUUUGAACGCACAUUGCGCCUCCUGGUAUUCCGGGGGGCAUGUCUGUUUGAGCGUCAGUACCCACUCCGUCGAAGUGUUUUCCACUCCGACGGGUUUUGAAGGAGGAGGGCGGUACUUCCCGACACCGGGAGGUAUCUGUUAACCCACACAUCCUUUCAAUGUCGACGCUUGCGAACCGGAUACCGACCACAACGUAGUAAUUUCAUUUCGUCCUGCGAGGUUGACGGCCGCCUGAACACCAAACUUUGCAGUUUGACCUCAGAUCAGACAAGGAUACCCGCUGAACUUAAGCAUAUCAAUA